GAAAUGCGAUACGUAAUGUGAAUUGCAAAUUCAGUGAAUCAUCGAGUCUUUGAACGCACAUUGCGCCCCUGGUAUUCCGGGGGGCAUGCCUGUCCGAGCGUCAUUUCUGCCCUCAAGCACGGCUUGUGUGUUGGGCCCCGUCCUCCGAUCCCGGGGGACGGGCCCGAAAGGCAGCGGCGGCACCGCGUCCGGUCCUCGAGCGUAUGGGGCUUUGUCACCCGCUCUGUAGGCCCGGCCGGCGCUUGCCGAUCAACCCAAAUUUUUAUCCAGGUUGACCUCGGAUCAGGUAGGGAUACCCGCUGAACUUAAGC
rnacentral:misc_RNA from 1 species